GGCCAGACUCCUACGGGAGGCAGCAGUGGGGAAUAUUGCACAAUGGGGGGAACCCUGAUGCAGCGACGCCGCGUGGGUGAAGAAGCGCCUCGGCGCGUAAAGCCCUGUCAGCAGGGAAGAAAAUGACGGUACCUGAAGAAGAAGCCCCGGCUAACUACGUGCCAGCAGCCGCGGUAAUACGUAGGGGGCAAGCGUUAUCCGGAUUUACUGGGUGUAAAGGGGGCGCAGACGGCGAUGCAAGCCAGGAGUGAAAGCCCGGGGCCCAACCCCGGGACUGCUCUUGGAACUGCGUGGCUGGAGUGCAGGAGGGGCAGGCGGAAUUCCUGGUGUAGCGGUGAAAUGCGUAGAUAUUAGGAGGAACACCAGUGGCGAAGGCGGCCUGCUGGGCUUUAACUGACGCUGAGGCUCGAAAGCGUGGGUAGCAAACAGGAUUAGAUACCCUGGUACC
rnacentral:rRNA from 1 species